rnacentral:rRNA from 1 species
GAUGAACGCUAGCGGCAGGCCUAAUACAUGCAAGUCGAGGGGCAGCACAGGUAGCAAUACUGGGUGGCGACCGGCAAACGGGUGCGGAACACGUACGCAACCUUCCUUUAAGUGGGGCAUAGCCCAGAGAAAUUUGGAUUAAUACCCCGUAAUAUCAUUGAGAGGCAUCUUUUGAUGAUUAAAGCUGAGGCGCUUAAAGAUGGGCGUGCGUCUGAUUAGGUAGUUGGUGAGGUAACGGCUCACCAAGCCGACGAUCAGUAACUGGCGUGAGAGCGCGACCAGUCACACGGGCACUGAGACACGGGCCCGACUCCUACGGGAGGCAGCAGUAAGGAAUAUUGGUCAAUGGGCGCAAGUCUGAACCAGCCAUGCCGCGUGGAGGAUGAAGGUCCUCUGAAUUGUAAACUUCUUUUAUCUGGGAAGAAAUGUAUUUUUUCUAAAGUACUUGACGGUACCAGAUGAAUAAGCACCGGCUAACUCCGUGCCAGCAGCCGCGGUAAUACGGAGGGUGCAAGCGUUAUCCGGAUUCACUGGGUUUAAAGGGUGCGUAGGCGGAUUAUUAAGUCCGUGGUGAAAUCUCCGAGCUUAACUCGGAAACUGCCAUGGAUACUAUUAGUCUUGAAUGUUGUGGAGGUUUGCGGAAUAUGUCAUGUAGCGGUGAAAUGCUUAGAUAUGACAUAGAACACCGAUUGCGAAGGCAGCAGGCUACACAAAUAUUGACGCUGAGGCACGAAAGCGUGGGGAUCAAACAGGAUUAGAUACCCUGGUGGUCCACGCCCUAAACGAUGAUUACUCGACAUUUGCGAUACACAGCAAGUG